rnacentral:rRNA from 1 species
UACGUAGGGAGCAAGCGUUGUCCGGAAUCAUUGGGCGUAAAGCGCGUGUAGGCGGCUUGGUAAGUCUGCUCUGAAAGCCCGGGGCUCAACCCGGGAGGCGGGUGGAUACUGCUGAGCUCGAGUCCGGAAGAGGCGAGUGGAAUUCCGUGGUGUAGCGGUGAAAUGCGCAGAUAUCAGGAGGAACACCGAUGGCGAAGGCAGCUCGCUGGGACGGUACUGACGCUGAGACGCGAAGCGUGGGAGCAACAGG